AGCUCCAAUAGCGUAUAUUAAAGUUGUUGCGGUUAAAAAGCUCGUAGUUGGAUUUCUGCUUUGCGAGGCCGGUCACCACUACGUGGUUGUAUCUGGUUCUAGCAGGGCAUCCUCGUCAAAAUGCUUACUGUGCUUGAUUGCAUGGUGGUGUGUUGGCGACUUUUACUUUGAGGAAAUUAGAGUGUUCACGGCAGGCAAUCGCCCUGAAUAUAUUAGCAUGGAAUAAUAAUAUAGGAUCUGAUGCCUAUUUUGUUGGUUUCUAGGUGUUAGAUAAUGAUUAAUAGGGACAAUUGGGGGCAUUCGUAUUAAGGCGUCAGAGGUGGAAUUCUUGGAUUGCCUUACGACGAACUACUGCGAAAGCAUUUGCCAAGGAUGUUUUCA
rnacentral:rRNA from 1 species